rnacentral:ncRNA from 1 species
UUGAUUGACCCAGAACAUGAAAUGGAAAGAGUAAGCAUGUACUGUGAAAUCUGCAGAAGGCCCUGGGUGCACCACAGGUCCAUCUCACCCACCUCGCCAGAGAAGUGGAGCAUGAAUGUGUGAGCUAGGUCCUGAAAGAUGAUGAACUAUGCCUAAGCAGGACAAAGCCACAGGAAACUCUGGAGGAUGUCCUGACAUGCACGCUAGUCAUCCAAUCCAGGUGUAGGGGCAAAAGAGCAAUCGAACCAUAUAGUAGCUGG